GGAGAGUGCCCGACAGCCGCGAAAUUUUAAGGUGGUCUGCAGAAAGGAGUUAUUGACAUGCAAGGAACUUUUUAUCACGUUACUUGUGAAGGAAUCUCCAUUGGAUUCGGAUCAAAUGUGAAUCGGAUGCUGAAAAAACAGAUCUUAUGCUAAACCUGUUGACGCUGUACCUGGACACCGUUAUGCAGAAGCCUAACCGGUUCAGGGCAGAUUAUUCUCUCGUCGGUCAUUUCCAUGAUGUCUGUUUGUGCUCAGCCAGCUUCAUCACGUAUCAGUAAGAGGCUGAAGGAAGAAAGUCGUGUGAAUAAUUACCUGUCUAAUCCGCGCAAUUAGAUAACGGCGAUUAGGGCAAUCCCUGACCGGAGAGGUGUUGCAGACAGAGGGAUGACUAACAGGGGACGCCUCUGAGAUCACGCUAAUAUGACGGAGGAGAACAAGAGAAUGAUGAAGAGAUGUGGACGAUACUGACUUGUCAAAUCUGAGCACGUUUUGAGACAUUUGAGAUCUGAUCUGGAAGAAACAUGAGAGAUUACUGUGGUCUGUAUUCAAUGCAACGGCAACAAGAAAUCCUGUAUCAUUGGUU